GACGAACGCUGGCGGCGUGCUUAACACAUGCAAGUCGAACGAAGAGCGACGGAAGCUUGCUUCUAUCAAUCUUAGUGGCGAACGGGUGAGUAACGCGUAAUCAACCUGCCCUUCAGAGGGGGACAACAGUUGGAAACGACUGCUAAUACCGCAUACGAUCUAACCUCGGCAUCGAGGAUAGAUGAAAGGUGGCCUCUACAUGUAAGCUACCACUGAAGGAGGGGAUUGCGUCUGAUUAGCUAGUUGGAGGGGUAACGGCCCACCAAGGCGAUGAUCAGUAGCCGGUCUGAGAGGAUGAACGGCCACAUUGGGACUGAGACACGGCCCAGACUCCUACGGGAGGCAGCAGUGGGGAAUCUUCCGCAAUGGACGAAAGUCUGACGGAGCAACGCCGCGUGAGUGAUGACGGCCUUCGGGUUGUAAAGCUCUGUUAAUCGGGACGAAAGGCCUUCUUGCGAAUAGUGAGAAGGAUUGACGGUACCGGAAUAGAAAGCCACGGCUAACUACGUG
rnacentral:rRNA from 1 species